AAUAGCGGAAAACACAACUCGAGUCUGUAGUUUCAUUCAACUUAGUAGUAUAAAGUUAUCGAAAAGCAAUGGAGAGUGGCUUUGGAAACAUUCAGUAAAGAAGAGCCUCUUGCAACGCAAAAUAAAUUGAUUGGGUUGUCUUGCAGAUUCUUAGAUUCAGAGGACAGUAUUUGUAUGACGCGAAAGGCAAUUCGUAUUUGGACUGUAUCAGCAACGUUCAGCACGCGGCAAAGGACACGAUCCAAAGCCCUUUGAACAUAACAGUACAACAUAAUCAACACAACAGUGCCUCCUAGUGAGGCCAAUGAUCUCGUAUUACACUUGGAACCCAACAUGAAGACAUUGUGUUUGACCAGUAAGGUUUCUCAAAUAUCACACGUUAAACACAUACUGUUCUGCUACCUUUUCAAAUAGAUUCUCUCUUUAAAAGUACACCUUCCCUCUUUUUCCCUAUCCUCUUCCAUAUCAUGAGCACCUGACUUCGCUUAUCAAUAUGUCCAUACAAGUUCUGGAAACUGACAGAACAGAAAGAGUGGCUUUACAUGGUGUGCAAGAGGAUACAUAUUGCAUGCCUCUGUUCUUUGGUGAGUGUGCUAUAACAAACAGAUACUGGCAUUACACUCCACUUCAUUCUUACAGGCCCCUGUAGCAGACACCUGUAGAGGUGUGUAGACAACCAACCCAGCCCAGACAUAUGCAGAUACUGUGGAGGACGUGAUAGACCAGGUGCACCAACAAGGUCGCAAGCUACAGCAAAUACAGUAGUGCGUGGACGAGAACAGAAGUCUACAUUUGGACACAGAGCAGUGUGUAAUGCUGAUAGUGUAGUAACAGUGGAACAAUGCUUAUUAGUUGUGUUAUAAAUCUAUGAGUAUACUCUCUCAAUAUGGACAUGAACCACAGGUUUCACCGUUUUUCAUUAAGUCGUUGCCCAGUCAUCUUCUUGCCCAAACGAUACUCAACUAAAGUAACAGAGUUGGUACUGCCUCGGAGCAUACGCUAUCAGUGUAUUACUAUACUGCACCAUUCUCAUCAGCGAAGACUAGGUCCAAUAGCCAAAUCCUCACGAGUUAGGAUCAAGGUCAUUGUGCAUAAUAAAUGCUCUGUUGGUAUCUCUCUACAGAUAUGUGUGCUCUGCAAGGGGAGUGUUUGUGGCAUACGAGGUGAAGACAGGUUUUGGGCGUGUGGGGAGUCACUUUUGAGCGUUUCAGCUUCAGGGUGAUGACUUCUGCCCUGACAUAAAGACCAAGGUGAUGGGUAAUGGGAAUCCCCUGGCAUGUAUGGUAACCAUAGUGGAGAUAGCUGGGGCCUUCACAGCCAACAAAGUGGAGUACUUUCACACAGUGAGAGACAAGUAGUUGCUGUUAUUACCCAUUUAAUUUUUUUUUGCCAUAAUUUAACUUGGCAAGUCAGUUAAGAACAAAUUCUUAUUUACAAUGAUGACCUACCCUGGCCAAACCCUAACGACCCUGGGCCAAUUGUGCACCGCCCUAUAGAAUUCCCAAUCACAGCCGGUUGUGAUACAGCCUGGAAUCUAACCAGGGUCUGUAGUGACACCUCUAGCACUGAGAUGCAGUGUCUUAGACCGCUGCACCACUCAGGAGCCCCUAUAUAUAUUCUUAGGAAAUAAGGUGUAGUGCACAAAAGUUAAUAUUGUACAUUGGUUUACUGCACUGCAUCUGUGUACACAACCAAUAAACCCUGAUAUGUGCAACUCAAAUUAGGAGUCUCAUCCCAAACAUGAUUUGUGGCUUUCCGGUGACUGCAGUUUGGCAGACACCCAGCGUCAGUGAAUGUGAUUGA